CUCUCUCUCUCCUCUGCAGCAGUGAAGAUACACACGUGUGUCUGUUGUGUUUCUGCUGCAGAUCUUUGACCAGUGCUCAACAGCUGAUGCUCCUCCACACACUCCUCCACAUCCAGGCGGAUUCACAGCUCCAGUAAAGAAUCUACCAAGCCAGGUCAGAGGUGUGUAGCAGCAGCUGCCAGUCUGGAUGUAGACUACACCAGUAUUAACCAGUUUCAGAUAAGACGGCUGAGAGUACGAGAAACAGCCUUGAGGAUGAAACAGGUCGUUCUCUGUAGAGCUGCUCGAUAUUGGAAAUAUGUCACAUUGUGAUAUUUAGAUUUCUGUGAUUUAUAUUGUGAUAUGAGAACAAUUUCACCAGAUGACUUGAACGGCUCUAUGUGUACAGAAUUGAUCAUUUUAGAUUGAUUAGGAUGAUUCUGUAGAGGAGAGCAUCUGAAUAAAUAUAAUAAACAAUCUACAAGCUUAGAUAAAUGCAGCGAAGAGGAAGAUAGAGAUGAAAUAAACAAUGUUUUACUGUUUCCUGAAGAGUCUAACAGUACUCAGGUACAGCAACUGAAUAAUCAAAUGUAAAAUAAUACUGCAUAGUCAAGAGCAGUGUUUCCCAACCCUGUUCCUGGAGGCACACCAACAGUACAUAUUUUGGAUGUCUCCCUUUUCUGACCCAUUAACUUCAGGUGUUGGAGUCUCUUCUGAUGUUAUGAUCAGUUGAUUCAGGUCUGUUUGAUUAGGGAGAGGUUGAAAAUGUGUACUGUUGGUGUGCCUUCAGGAACAGGGUUGGGAAACACUGGUCUAGAUAACUCAGUUACAUGAACCGUUAUUAAAGUUACGAAUGGAAGAAUUUCUUAGGCCUGAACUGAAAAUCAGGAUCUUUAUACCUUUGUUGACGCCAUUUGUGGCCCUCUGUCAGAGUAUAAUUGCUGUGUGUUUGUUAUUGUAAGGCAGCGAGAUCGGCCAGCCAACUCUAUGUGAGGGUCACAGAACGGCAAACUGUCUUCAGUAAACUCUCUUAAUCUUAUUGAAUCUCCAGCAAACAAACAAAUAGACUAUGAAUGUAACAUAAAAGAAUUCCCAAAAGCUGAUGAUUACAGACUUGACAUCAAAUAUUGAUAAAUGAAGUGUAAAACAUGAAUAUUGUACUGUAAAGCGUGUGACUUUCUCACCAUGAUGUUCUUCACUCCAGAUUGUCAUUUAGCCUGUGUGUAAUUAAUGCGCCUCUCAUCAAUAAACAUACAUUUAAUUUA